rnacentral:rRNA from 1 species
UGCCGCGUGUGGGAAGAAGGCCUUCGGGUUGUAAACCACUUUUGGCAGGGAAGAAAUGUCGAAUAUUAAUACCAUUCGGCGAUGACGGUACCUGCAGAAUAAGCACCGGCUAACUACGUGCCAGCAGCCGCGGUAAUACGUAGGGUGCAAGCGUUAAUCGGAAUUACUGGGCGUAAAGCGUGCGCAGGCGGUUGGAUAAGACAGGUGUGAAAUUCCCGGGCUCAACCUGGGAACUGCAUUUGUGACUGUUCGACUAGAGUGCGGCAGAGGGGAGUGGAAUUCCGCGUGUAGCAGUGAAAUGCGUAGAUAUGCGGAGGAACACCGAUGGCGAAGGCAACUCCCUGGGCCUGCACUGACGCUCAUGCACGAAAGCGUGGGGAGCAAACAGGAUUAGAUACCCUGGUAGUCCACGCCCUAAACGAUGUCGACUAGUUGUUGGACGGGAUACUGUUCAGUAACGUAGCUAACGCGUGAAGUCGACCGCCUGGGGAGUACGGCCGCAAGGUUAAAACUCAAAGGAAUUGACGGGGACCCGCACAAGCGGUGGAUGAUGUGGUUUAAUUCGAUGCAACGCGAAAAACCUUACCUACCCUUGACAUGCCAGGAACUUGCCAGAGAUGGCUUGGUGCUCGAAAGAGAGCCUGGACACAGGUGCUGCAUGGCUGUCGUCAGUUCGUGUCGUGAGAUGUUGGGUUAAGUCCCGCAACGAGCGCAACCCUUGUCAUUAGUUGCUACGCAAGAGCACUCUAAUGAGACCGCCGGUGACAAACCGGAGGAAGGUGGGGAUGACGUCAAGUCCUCAUGGCCCUUAUGGGUAGGGCUACACACGUCAUACAAUGGGCGGUACAGAGGGUCGCCAACCCGCGAGGGGGAGCCAAUCCCUUAAAACCGCUCGUAGUCCGGAUUGUAGUCUGCAACUCGACUGCAUGAAGUCGGAAUCGCUAGUAAUCGCGGAUCAGCUUGCCGCGGUGAAUACGUUCCCGGGUCUUGUACACACCGCCCGUCACACCAUGGAAGUGGGGUUUACCAGAAGUAGUUAGCUUAACCGCAAGGAGGGCGAUUACCACGGUAGGCUUCAUGACUGGGGUGAAGUCGUAACAAGGUA